CCCUCUAUAGUUUAACGGUAGAACAAUCGGCUGUAGACCGAUAGGUGUUGGUUCAAAUCCGACUGGGGGGA
rnacentral:tRNA from 1 species